rnacentral:rRNA from 1 species
UUUGAUCAUGGCUCAGAGUGAACGCUGGCGGUAGGCCUAACACAUGCAAGUCGAACGGCAGCACAGUAAGAGCUUGCUCUUAUGGGUGGCGAGUGGCGGACGGGUGAGGAAUACAUCGGAAUCUACUCUGUCGUGGGGGAUAACGUAGGGAAACUUACGCUAAUACCGCAUACGACCUACGGGUGAAAGCAGGGGAUCUUCGGACCUUGCGCGAUUGAAUGAGCCGAUGUCGGAUUAGCUAGUUGGCGGGGUAAAGGCCCACCAAGGCGACGAUCCGUAGCUGGUCUGAGAGGAUGAUCAGCCACACUGGAACUGAGACACGGUCCAGACUCCUACGGGAGGCAGCAGUGGGGAAUAUUGGACAAUGGGCGCAAGCCUGAUCCAGCCAUACCGCGUGGGUGAAGAAGGCCUUCGGGUUGUAAAGCCCUUUUGUUGGGAAAGAAAUCCAGCUGGCUAAUACCCGGUUGGGAUGACGGUACCCAAAGAAUAA